rnacentral:misc_RNA from 1 species
CUGAGUGAGGGCCCUCGGGCCCGACCUCCAACCCUUUGUGAACCUAACCUGUUGCUUCGGGGGAGACCCCGCCGUUUCGGCGGCGGCGGCUCCCCCGGAGGCCCAUUAACACUGCGUAACUGUUUAGUCGGAGUUUUAAUAAAUAAUCA